CACCCAACCUAUUUCAUUUAAAAAUCUCAAGUGGAUGAAUCAGAAUCUUGAGAAAUUCUUUCAUUUGUCUAUCAUUAUAGACAAGCCCAUCCAUAUUAUCGAUUCUAUGGAAUUCAAACCUGAACUUUAUUUUCUAUUUCUAUUACGAUUCAUUAUUUGUAUCUAAUGGGCUCCUCUUCUUAUUUAUUUUUUAUUUAAAUUUCAGCAUAUCGAUUUAUGCCUAGCCUAUUCUUUUCUUUGCGUUUUUCUUUCUUUUUUAUACCUUUCAUAGAUUCAUAGAGGAAUUCCAUAUAUUUUCACAUCUAGGAUUUACAUAUACAACAUAUACCACUGUCAAGGGGGAAGUUCUUAUUAUUUAGGUUAGCUAGGUAUUUCCAUUUCAAAAAAAAAAAGGUAAAAAAUCAAAAUUGGGUUGCACUAUAUAUAUGAAAGAGUAUACAAUAAUGAUGUAUUUGGCAAAUCAAAUACCAUGGUCUAAUAAUCAACCAUUCUGAUUAAUUGAUAAUAUUAGUAUUAGUUGGAAAUUUUGUGAAAGAUUCCUGUGAAAAGUUUCAUUAAUGCGGAAUUUAUGUCGAGUAGACCUUGUUGUUGUGAGAAUUCUUAAUUCAUGAGUUGUAGGGAGGGAUUUAUGUCACCACAAACAGAGACUAAAGCAAGUGUUGGAUUCAAAGCUGGUGUUAAAGAGUACAAAUUGACUUAUUAUACUCCUGAGUACCAAACCAAGAAUAUUGAUAUAUUGGCAGCAUUCCGAGUAACUCCUCAACCUGGAGUUCCACCUGAAGAAGCAGGGGCCGCGGUAGCUGCCAAAUCUUCUAUUGGUACAUGGACAACUGUAUGGACCGAUGGACUUACCAGUCUUGAUCGUUACAAAGGGCGAUGCUACCGCAUCGAGCGUGUUGUUGGAGAAAAAGAUCAAUAUAUUGCUUACCUUUUAGACCUUUUUGAAGAAGGUUCUGUUACCAAUAUGUUGACUUCCAUUGUAGGUAACGUAUUUGGGUUCAAAGCCCUGCGCGCUCUACGUCUGGGAGAUCUGCGAAUCCCUACUGCUUAUGUUAAAACUUUCCAAGGUCCGCCUCAUGGGAUCCAAGUUGAAAGAGAUAAAUUGAACAAGUAUGGUCGUCCCUUGUUGGGAUGUACUAUUAAACCUAAAUUGGGGUUAUCUACAAAAAACUACGGUAGAGCUGUUUAUGAAUGUCUUCGCGGUGGACUUGAUUUUACCAAAGAUGAUGAGAACGUGAACUCACAACCAUUUAUGCGUUGGAGAGAUCGUUUCUUAUUUUGUGCCGAAGCACUUUUUAAAGCAUAGACUGAAACAGGUGAAAUCAAAGGGCAUUACUUGAAUGCUACUGCAGGUACAUGCGAAGAAAUGAUGAAAAGAGCCAUAUUUGCUAGAGAAUUAGGCGCUCCGAUCGUAAUGCAUGACUACUUAACGGGGGGAUUCACCGCAAAUACUACCUUGGCUCAUUAUUGCCGAGAUAAUGGUCUACUUCUUCACAUCCACCGUGCAAUGCAUAAGGUUAUUGAUAGACAGAAGAAUCAUGGUAUCCACUUCCGGGUAUUAGCAAAAGCGUUACGUAUGUCUGGUGGAGAUCAUAUUCACUCUGGUACCGUAGUAGGUAAACUGAAGGUGAAAGAGACAUAACUUUGGGCUUUGUUGAUUUACUGCGUGAUGAUUUUAUUGAACAAGAUAGAAGUCGCGGUGUUUAUUUCACUCAAGAUUGGGUCUCUUUACCAGGUGUUCUACCUAUGGCUUCAGGAGGUAUUCACGUUUGGCAUAUGCCUGCUCUGACCGAGAUCUUUGGGGAUGAUUCCGUACUACAGUUCGGUGGAGGAACUUUAGGACAUCCUUGGGGUAAUGCGCCAGGUGUCGUAGCUAAUCGAGUAGCUCUAGAAGCAUGUGUAAAAGCUCGUAAUGAAGGACGUGAUCUUGCUCAGGAAGGUAAUGAGAUUAUUCGCGAGGCUUGCAAAUGGAGCCCGGAACUAGCUGCUACUUGUGAGGUAUGGAAAGAGAUCGUAUUUAAUUUUGCAGCAAUGGACGUUUUGGAUAAGUAAAAACAGUAGACAUUAGCAGAUAAAUUAGCA